UUCACCUCUCUGAAUCUCCUCUUCCAGAGACAACAUCCAUCUAUAUUUUUAUUGCAAGAUGAGAUGAUUACAUUCAUCCGCAAGCUCUGCUCCAAGUUCCUCUUGCCCACAGUACUGCAGACCCACCUUAAGCCUCAGGACAUCCCAUAUGUGGAUAAGGAGAACCAUCUGCCUGGAUACAAACUGAAUGUCGGCUUCAUCACCAGGGUGAGGCUCAAUCAUCUCCUGGAUGCUGGGGACAUCACCGCCCAGAAAGUGGAGUUAUUC